rnacentral:rRNA from 1 species
AUAUCAUAGCGAGAAAGAAACUACAAGGAUUCCCCUAGUAACGGCGAGUGAAGCGGGAUGAGCUCAAAUUUAAAAUCUGGCGGCCUCAGGUCGUCCGAGUUGUAGUCUAGAGAAUCGUUUUCCGCGUUGGCCUGUGUACAAGUCCCUUGGAACAGGGCGUCAUAGAGGGUGAGAAUCCCGUCCUUGACACAGACUACCAAUGCUUUGUGAUGCGAUCUCGAAGAGUCGAGUUGUUUGGGAAUGCAGCUCAAAAUGGGUGGUAAAUUCCAUCUAAAGCUAAAUAUUGGCGAGAGACCGAUAGCGAACAAGUACCGUGAGGGAAAGAUGAAAAGCACUUUGGAAAGAGAGUUAAACAGUACGUGAAAUUGUUAAAAGGGAAACGAUUGAAGUCAGUCAUGCUUUCCGAGACUCAGCCGAUUCUGUCGGUGUACUUCUCGGUUGGCAGGCCAGCAUCAGUUUCGAUCUGUGGAAAAGGUUGGAGGGAACGUGGCAUCCUCGGAUGUGUUAUAGCCCUUCUUCGAAUACAUAGAGCGGGACUGAGGAACGCAGCGCGCCUUUUAUUAGGUUGGCCCUCGGGUACAUACGCGCUUAGGAUGCUGGCAUAAUGGCUUUAAACGACCCGUCUUGAAACACGGACCAAGGAGUCUAACAUGUUUGCGAGUGUUUGGGUGGUAAACCCGAACGCGUAAUUAAAGUGAAUGCAGGUGGGAUCCGCAAGGAGCACCAUCGACCGAUCUGGAUCUUUUGUGAUGGAUUUGAGUAAGAGCACAUAUGUUGGGACCCGAAAGAUGGUGAACUAUGCCUGAAUAGGGCGAAGCCAGAGGAAACUCUGGUGGAGGCUCGUAGCGAUUCUGACGUGCAAAUCGAUCGUCAAAUUUGGGUAUAGGGGCGAAAGACUAAUCGAACCAUCUAGUAGCUGCUCUGGC